CAGACGGGGAUGAGCGACGUCGAUUACAUCAAUGCCUUCCAACAAGUGCUGCUACCUGUGGCCUGCGAGUUUCAGCCUCAGCUGGUUCUGGUCUCUGCUGGAUUUGAUGCUACAGUUGGAGAUGUGAAGGGGAAAAUGUGUGUGACUCCUCCUUGUUUCCACAUUCUGACGCACAUGUUGAUGAGGCUGGCAGAAGGUCGGCUUGUUCUUGCUC